rnacentral:lncRNA from 1 species
UAUACAUACAUAUAAAUAUGUUCUUAUAUAAUUAGGUAAGAAUGCUUGUGUAAGAAAAUUUGAGAAAGGUUUUAGAGGUUUUGGAUGUAAUAGAUAUAAUUAGUCCCUCAAGACCAAGUCUACGAGGGAGGCCCCUCCUCUAUGUUCUCCAUGUGUGGAUUUACUUUAGCCGGUGUACAGGAAGCAUCUACUCUAUUCCCUAUGCUAUUUACUAAGGAAGCAAAGAUGAAGACACAAGCUCCCUGGUCUCAGCAAGCUUCUGAUCUAUUAUCAAGACGUGCAUACUAUAGGGAGCUCCAUUGUGGCACAAUGGGUUAAGGAUCUGACAUUGUCACUGCAGUAGCUUGAGUUGCUGCUGUGGCACAGAUUUGAUCCCUGGCUCUGGAAUUUCCAUAUGCCAAGGGUAUAAUCAAAAAAAAAAAAAGGAUGUGCAUAUUAUAAAUGUUUGUAGUGCUAGGUGGUAAACAUAGUAAUAGAAGCUGAUAACAGAUCCAGAAGCUAUAAGAAGAGGAAUAGUGACUCUCCCCUUCUGUAGGGAUUCUGGAAGACUUCCUGGAUGAGGACGCAUCUACCUCACAUCUGAAAGGUUACACAUCAGGCUCCUAUCACACCUACACAAUUUGAAGUUGUCCCACUAUCGUCACAUGCACACAGGUCUCUGGUCUUGGGCUGGGACAGGUUCCCACACUUCUUCUCCUGAAGAACUUUCAAAAACUGAACCAGAAGUUCCUUCCUGGAAGACUUCCCUACCUCCCCAGGGCAGAGGAAGUGCGCAUGUCUUCACCAUACUCUUACCUAAAUAGCGGACAUGGGAGCUCUGCCCAAUUGAGCUUUGUCUGCUGGGAUAGGACGGAACACCACACCCAGUAUACACUCAGUGCCCAAUAAAUGUUUCCCCAAACAAACAAACACAUCAGCACUUUCCAGCCUCCGCUGCUUCAGCUACAUGUCCUUGUGCUGGAGACACAGUGUACCACUGCCUGCAGCAGCCCCAGGGGACAAACCAGACACACUCCCUCCCCAUGAGGAGCUCAAACUCUGUUCAACAACCAAGUAAACGCACCUAGGGAGUGAAUGCUGAUAAAAAUGUUGAGCAAGGGCAUGAAAGAACGAACAAAUGUUUUUUAAAAAAAUGUAUUUUCCCAGACUGAUUUCCACUGGAUUCAGUUAAGUUCAAAUGUAUGUUUGCCUCCUGCUCCUACGAAGGUCCCCUUUCAUGGAGUUAUCAGAGGUUCUUGUUCCUUUUCUUCCUGGCUAAAGGCCACAGAGGCCUCUGGCAGGUUUUGAACUGAUUCAGCGUCAUGGGGCAGGCUGAGAACCUGAAGAGCAGGUAGAGCCUGAACCACCAAGGAGAGGGCUCUGUCAGGUGCUUUUACGUAAACUGACUCACUCACAUUCACUUUGGCCGGGGUGCUCAUCAGAUAACCGACUCUCCCCUGGCUUUCAAGUGCAGUCUUCAAUAUACAGGCACAGUGCUUGACGCAGGCAGAAGCAGUGAUUGGCUGUGGCCUUGCUUGGGUAUUUCAUUGAGAGGGUGAUGGAGGCCAGUGCCCACGGCCCUCUGCACGCAGCAGAGCUUCAAAUGACCCAGAAUUGUUUCUAUGCUAAAAUCUCUGAGCGGAUAAGCUGAAGCAAUCAUGGAAAAGAAGCCCAAGAAGCUGCAAGAGCUGCUGGAGGCUGCCCCCACCGCCCCACAGGGCAGGGCCUGGCCUGAAAGCUGACCCUAAAGAGCACUCUUUAAGUGCAACACACAGGCAAGCACUGGCCACCCAGGGUGUGACUCAGAAGCACCUCUGAGGUCCCCAGACGUCAGUAACAGCAGAUCGGCAGUGUCAUUAAAAAGCAAAUUAUAGCGCAAGAUGGCUUGAAGUGCCUGUGGGAUCAGUCCUUUCCUUUGCAAUUACACAGCCACCACUCUCAUCUCCUGUCAGGUCUGUUGCAAAAGCUUCCUUCCUGGGCAUUCCAGACUUGCUCCCUCCCCCUGUUCGACCCCACCCUAAAUUUUGUAUUUUUCUUCAUGGACAACACUGUAGUCAGACCAGCCCUUUACUGGAAGGGGUUCAGCCUCUCUCAGACCAGCCACCAGGUGUAACCCAAGCUUCUCAGAGCCUCCUGUAAUCCAGAGCCUCCUGGAUGCCCCCAGCUCCCAAUUCCUGGCCCUUUGCAAAUUUCCUCAACCCCUCUGCCCUAUUCCCAGAUUCUCUGCUUCAGCCAAAGGGACCCAUUUCCUGGUCCCUCUGACUUUCCCAGGGCCUUCCCCACAGCCAGCCCCAUCCUGGUGAGAAGCCUGCUCAGAGUAGCCCUUCUUCUUCUCUCAGCUUGUGCAAAUCCUUUUUAUCCUCUGUAACUGAGUUCACCCUCCAUGUGUCUGGUGAAGCCUUCUUGGACCCCUGCAACUGAAAGUUCUAUUUCUGUUUCUGGCUUCCCAUACCAGCCUGGAGCUCUACCUUGGGUAUGGUAUUUAGCAGAUUCCUGUUACACAGUCAUGUCUUUACCCAGAGAAAGCACAUCUCAGUUUGGGCUUAAGUUCUUUCGGCGUGAGAACCACAUCUUCUGCAGCAUGACAUGGCAGACAGAAAUCCCAGGUCCCGGACUCACAGGCCUGGUCGUAACCCUGUAACUGUCUUUUAACUGCCUUGCCUAGAGCAAGUUUCCUUUCCAAGUCUCAAUUUUCUCAUCUGUAAAAGGGGGAUAUUAUAACGAUCCCAUGGGUAGUUGUGAGGGUUAUUAAAAUGCAGAUUGAGUGAUCAAAAAGUACUUCGCAUAGUGAGUGCUCAAUAAAUAUUGACUACUGUCACCAUGUGAGAGGGCAGGGUGUAUUAAAGAACGGACGGGCCUGGUUUCUGCUGGCCGGAUCUUUGGGCAUGAGGGCAGAGCAGCUGGAAACCAGGUCAGACCAGUCAGGUCCAGGGGAUGAAAGGCCCCCGAAGCCAUAUGGAGGAGUGUGGAUUUACCCAGGGGAGAGCAGUACUCAUCAGAUGGUUCCAAGCAAGGGAAGAACUGGUCCAACUCAUAUCUUAGGGACUUCCCUGGCUCCAGUGGGGAGGAUGGUAUGGACAUUGAGUAAACUAAAGUCAGAGAAGCAAGUUAGGAGGCUGUUGUAGUCACGCUGAUGAGGGCUGAAGUGUAUCUGAGGUGGUGACCCUGCAUGAUGAGUCAACAACUUCUGUCUAGAAGUUAGUCACUAAAUGUGCCAAGGUAAUGAGACUUAGUCCCUGACUUGAGGACUCUUGGUCUACUAUGGGGAUACAGGUAAGAAAACUAAGAAAGUAUAAUAAAUGGAAAGUGAUGGGAAAGGAAAUAUGUACCACUUGGAAGCAAAGAGAAAGAAGCAUCACCUGCAGCGAUGGGGAGGGAGGCUUGAAGAGGUUUUUAGGAAAGACAUGACCUGUAAGGCCUCCAUAUUUUAAGAAGGAUCCUUUAUACUGUCUUUAAGUUGACCUGGAUGUAAACUCUUAGACAUUCUAAUAUGGUCCUAUGUCUCUAGCAGAGGAAUUCCCACCACAUAUACUGAUGAGAAGAGAAGAUGAUAAGGAGCCCUUGCAAGGAUAAGAUGCCAAGAGUUUUUUGUUUGUUUUGUUUUUGUUUAGUUUUAUUUUUAUUACAGUAUAGUUGAUUUACAGUGUUGAGUCAAUUUCUGCUGUACAGCAGAGUGACCCAGUCAUAUAUUCAUAUUAUAUAUAUAUAUAUACAAACACACAUACAUUAUUUUUCUUAUAUUAUCUUCCAUCAUGGUCUAUCCCAAGAGGCUGGAUAUAGUUCCCUGUGCUGUACAAUAGGACCUCAUUGCUCAUCCAUUCUAAAUGGAAUAGUUUGCAUCCACCAACCCCAAACUCCCUGUUCAUCCCACUCCCUCCCCUCUCCCCCUUGGCAACCACAAGUCCGUUCUCUACUUCCAUGGGUCUGUUUCUGUUUUGUAGAUAGGUUCAUUUGUGUCAUAGUUUAUAUUCCACAUAUACAGGAGUUUUUUUGUUUUUUUAAAUCUUUAAAUUCCAUUUCCAUCACUCUGUUUCAAUCCUUUAAUCUCCCUUUUGUGCUACAAUGUCAGUGUUUUGAAUUUUGGAAGGCAAUUAUUUGAGGAGGGACAAUCAUUUGCUCUUUUCUUUUAUCUACCCAUUUAUCUAUCAAUCUAUUUAUUUUUAAAGAUUCCCUGAAAAAAAAUUUAGAGGAAAACAGGAACUCUGUAAUGAACUGGAAAUUAAUGUUGGUUCAUAAACAUUUCAGAAACUUCCAGCAAGAAGCUUAAGGAGAUAAUUACAUACCAGGAGAGAAAACUGGGUGUGCAUGCCAUAGUUACGGCCCAUCAGAAAGAGUGUUUCAAAGUGGGUCAUGUCACCAAAAUUAUUUGGACUCCACAAUUAUGAAUUAAAAUAAUGUUUACAUUUGGACAAAUGAUUUCCAAUUAGAUUGUCCAUUAAGUGAUUGAGUGCAGGAGUCCUGAUAAAUGAAACCUAAUUCGAAAGCCUCAGACAGGAAGGCAGCAAUUAGUUGCAGAAGGUGAGAAAUGCACAACUCAUGGGUCCUAUCUACCUUCAGCUGUGUGAGAAAGGGGUGGUGUGGCUGGGAACUAAGCCAGCGAUGUCCAGAGAACCAAUGAAAUCUUCCUAGAGCUUUACAAAGCACCUAUCCACACACCUAGGGCAAAUGAGCAGCUCCACUGCCAAAUGCUGUGUGCACAACUGGUUUGAUCUCACCACUGCCCUGAGAAGAGACAGGGCAGGCGCUCUUGUUUUUCCCUGUUUACAGCUGCAGAAACUGAGAUUCAAGGGACUCACCCAAGGUCACAAAAUAAGGGUAGCAGGAAGGGGAAAAAUUCAGGCCAGCUCUUUCAACCCUCAAUCCUGUGUUCUGGCCAACUUGUCUCUUAAAACCUUCCAAUAGUGACAGCUCACAGUUAAUAGCCUAGGCAACAGGGGCAUGCAUAAAGGAAGCCAGUAUGCUAAUGGGUAUAAAAUCAUUGCGCAAAAAUGACCUGACUUACCGAAACUCUGAGAGUAGGUAUGGUGAUGCUGCUGGUGCUGCGUGGAGGAGGGUAACUGCUCGUAGCUCAGCCUCAAAGCUUCCAGUGUCUAACUUGCCCCUGUAGGCAGGGAGAACCCAGAAAAGGAGAUCUCAGAGAGUGUUACAUUAGACAGACUGGAAGCAAAGUGACCAGGCGAGUUCAACUGAUGAAGUCUUGGUGGAAGAAUACUCUUCUUUGAAGAGGGCAUAAGGCAAUACUUAGGACCAUCCUGCAGUGAGCCUUAAGGGAUGCAAGCAAGAAGCAGACACCCAGCUCAAACUAAGAGACCCAGGGCAGGGUAGGGCAUGCAGACCAGAGACAAGUCUCUUCCCCUUGUCAUAUUAAUGAAGGGCUCACUGGUCCAUUAGAAAGAACUGCUAACUCCAUCAGACCCACUAGCACUUCCAAAGACUUCCUCCAUUGAUCUGAGGAUAAAAUGCAAAUUGCUUAGGAUUCUCAAGACCCUGGGAGGUCCCAAACUGGAUAAGUCUUCAACUUCAGGUCUUCUCACACUCCACAUCCCGCAUUUAUACCCCUGCGCAUCUCACACACAGUCAACACAGCUCUCCAAACCUCCUUUACUGGAGCAAAUUCUCUCUUGCUUCUAGGCCUUGACUCACACUAUUCUGUGUACCAGCUACCUUUCCUCCUUCCUGCCCCAAUUGCUUAAUUCCUACUCAUCCUCCAGGUGUCACCUAAAGGUCACUUCCUGCAGGAAGUGUCUCUCUGUCACCUUUACCCUUACUAGGCUAAGUUGGCCUGCCUCACUCUCCCAUAUCAGUUUGUAUUUCCUCAAACCCCACUGUGAGUGCUUGAUGCAUAAUCCAUCCUCAUACCUGGCAACUACUGGACAGAAAAAGGCGUUGCUAGUCUGCACACUAUGGCAACCCUAAGCUGAGCACUGUUGUGUUUGUUGGAAGAUGGGAUAGAUUAAUUCUUUAAUUAAUUUAAUGGGUGGUAAAAUCUAGUAAGCAAAGAAGCAUUUCUCCCUCGUGGAUGGCAAGUUCAGUUAGUCUCAGUUCAGAAAGCUGGAUGACCCCUCCUGCCAUGUUACAUAAACACCUGAAAAGACCUUGAGUCAGGAUUCUGCUGCCAAAGUGAACAAGAAUCCUAUUUAGAGAACUCUGUCUUUAGAAGGCUUAUUUCUGAGUGGGUGUGAUCCAAGUUACUGAGGAUUUUAAAUAAUUGGGAAAGACAUUAUCUUUGGAAACUCUUUAAAAUCCAACCUCUGUCCCUUAGUUCUUGCCAAAUAUCUCCCACAACUCACAUUAAGUGGAUCACUCUGUCCUUAAUCACAUACUAAAUGCCUGCAUCUGUGGUUGGCAUCAGCUGGCUGUGAGGCAGCUGCAAUCACCUUGGACAUGCCCUGCUAUUACAGCAGAGGAAAUAUUAGGUAAAGAGUUCCAAGUAGUGGCUGAGAGCAAGAUAUUCAUUCAUUCACUCACUCAUUCAUUCAUUCAUUCAUUCAACUCUAAUUAAAGGUCGAUUAUAUUUUAGGUCCUAAACUGAAAUAAAGAUAUAGUUCCUUUCUCUGGAAGGGCUCUCUAAAAAAAAGGGUUUGGAGAACUAAAAUUUUUUACAAUUGUAUAGUCUUUGCUUCUCAAACUUUAAUGUGUAUUUGAAAUUACCUAAUGAUCAUGUUAAAAUGAGAUUCUGAUUCAGUAAGUGUGGAGUGGAGGCUGAGAUUCUGCAUUUCUAACAAGCUCCUGAAUGAUGCUGACACUGCUUUUCUGAGGACCACACUUUAAGCAGAAAGCAUCACAAUACAGUCUCUAUAGAAAUGUAAUAAUUAUAUUCUCAUUAUCUCAUUUGAUUCUCACAGGAAUUCUGGGAGUAGGAGUUCCCACUGUGACACAGUGGGUUAAGGAUCUGGGGCAGCUACUGAGGCACAGGUCCAAUCUUUGGCUGGGUUCAUGAGUUAAGGUGUAGAUUACAGCUGCAGAUUUGAUCCCUGGAUUGGAAACUUCCAUAUACCAUAAGUGAAAAAAAAAAAAAAAAAAAAA